rnacentral:rRNA from 1 species
AUUGAACGCUGGCGGCAGGCCUAACACAUGCAAGUCGAGCGGUAGCACAGAGAGCUUGCUCUCGGGUGACGAGCGGCGGACGGGUGAGUAAUGUCUGGGAAACUGCCUGAUGGAGGGGGAUAACUACUGGAAACGGUAGCUAAUACCGCAUAACGUCGCAAGACCAAAGUGGGGGACCUUCGGGCCUCAUGCCAUCAGAUGUGCCCAGAUGGGAUUAGCUGGUAGGUGGGGUAACGGCUCACCUAGGCGACGAUCCCUAGCUGGUCUGAGAGGAUGACCAGCCACACUGGAACUGAGACACGGUCCAGACUCCUACGGGAGGCAGCAGUGGGGAAUAUUGCACAAUGGGCGCAAGCCUGAUGCAGCCAUGCCGCGUGUGUGAAGAAGGCCUUCGGGUUGUAAAGCACUUUCAGCGGGGAGGAAGGCGAUGAGGUUAAUAACCUCAUCGAUUGACGUUACCCGCAGAGGAAGCACCGGCUAACUCCGUGCCAGCAGCCGCCGUAAUAC